UUUGUGUUUGUGAAAGACGCUUUCCACCGUUUUCUUUUUCAUUCAAUUUCCCGUCUCCUCUUCAUCCUGCUCCUCCUCCUUCCUCGCCUCGUCUCGUGUCGUCUCUGCAAAACCCUAACUCUGCGCAAUCAAUUUAUUCCUCCUCUCCUCUUCUCUCACCUCACUUCCCCCUUCCCGCCCCAAUCUCUAACUUUCCCCACCGCCCCUCUUUCUUUCCCUCCCUCUACAUUUCCACCCUGCCUCAACCAUCCGUCUCUCUUUCUCUCUCCUCAAUUUCAUCCCGAUUGCUCCAAGAUCCUUGCUUUCCCCCCCUUCCCCUCGAUACCCCUCGUUGUUUGAUCCCCGAUUUCGUCUCUUUAUUAGGGUUUUGAGGGCGUGAAGCUGGCGAUUGGAGCCGGGCACAUGUGAUGGCGGAUCCGCCGAAAGCCCGCCGACAGUUUAGGCUUCAAUGUUUGAUUUUUGCUGCUUUAGGCUUCCGAGCGACGUUCCAAGAAGAGAUUGAGGCAUUUCGAAGUUAGAUUAAAAUGCUGACUGUGUUGCGGGUGCACCUGCCGUCUGAAAUUCCGAUUGUUGGAUGUGAGCUCGCACCGUAUGUGCUUUUGAGGCGCCAUGAUAAGUCUGUUAUUAGCGACGAUGUGUCCGAGUCGAACCCCGUUGACGGCUAUUUCUUAAGAUACAAAUGGUAUCGUAUACAAAGUGAUAGAAAAGUUGCAGUUUGUAGUGUCCACCCAACUGAGCAGGCUACAUUACAAUGCAUUGGAUGUGUUAAGGCUAAAAUUCCUGUUGCUAAAAGUUAUCAUUGUUCUUCAAAGUGUUUCUAUGAUGCAUGGCAACAUCAUCGAGUUCUUCAUGAUCGUGCUGCGAGUGCUGUAAAUGAAAAUGGAAAUGAAGAUGAAGAAAUCUUUGGCCGCUUCAAUAGUACUGGUAGUAAUGUAGGUUUGUCAGCUUCUCAAUCAAACCCUAGCUUGUCAAAUGGUACAACUCCGCUUUAUCCUGCUGCAAUAGCUCAUAGGAAUGGUGGGGAAACAUGGUUUGAAGUUGGAUGUCACAAAACAUAUACUCCAACUGCUGACGACAUUGGUCAUGUCCUUAAGUUUGAGUGUGUUGUGGUCGAUUUAGAAACAAAAUUGGCUGUGGGACCUGCCAAUACCUUAUUAACUUCCCGUGUCAUUCCAGCUCCAUCACCCUGUCCACGGCGCAUGAUUCCAGUAAGUGGAGUUGAUGUGCCUGGGCAUCUAGAUAUGGAUGUUCGCACAUCAUCGGCAGGGACUUUUACGGUGCUCUCAUAUAACAUCCUUUCUGAUGCAUAUGCUUCAAGUGAACUGUACAGCUAUUGCCCCUCUUGGGCUCUAUCAUGGACUUACCGCCGGCAAAACCUAUUGCGUGAAAUAGUUGCUUACAGGGCAGACAUCAUUUGUCUUCAGGAGGUUCAAAACGACCAUUUUGAGGAAUUCUUUUUGCCGGAGCUGGAUAAGCAUGGUUACCAAGCUCUUUUCAAAAAGAAGACUACAGAGAUGUUUGGGGGAAACAUCCACAAUAUUGAUGGUUGUGCUACUUUUUUUCGCCGUGAUAGAUUUUUACAUAUAAAAAAAUAUGAGGUUGAAUUCAACAAAGCUGCUCAAUCUUUAACUGAUGCUUUGGUUCCUAGCACUCAGAAGAAAAAUGCAUUAAAUCGGUUGAUACAGGACAAUGUUGCACUUAUUUUAGUUCUAGAAGCUAAGUUCAGCAACCAUGGUGUUGAUAAUCCUGGGAAGCGUCAGCUUGUUUGUGUGGCGAAUACACAUAUAAAUUUGCAUCAAGAAUUGAAGGAUGUCAAACUUUGGCAGGUCCAUACAUUAUUGAAGGGACUGGAAAAGAUUGCUGCGAGUGCUGAUAUCCCUAUGAUUGUGUGUGGUGAUUUCAAUUCUGUUCCUGGAAGUGCUCCUCAUGCUCUCCUUGCUAUGGGCAAAAUAGAUCCAGCUCAUCCGGACUUGGCACUAGACCCACUCGGAGUUCUUCGCCCUGUCACCAAACUGACUCAUCAGCUACCACUGGUUAGUGCUUACUCAUCCUUUGCGAGAGCUGUGGGUGGACUUAGUCUAGAGCAGAGAAGGAGAAUGGAUCCAGCUACAAAUGAACCCCUGUUUACAAACUGCACUAGAGAUUUUAUUGGUACUCAUGAUUAUAUAUUCUAUUCAGCUGACACCUUGACGGUGGAAUCUCUGUUGGAGCUAUUGGAUGAGGAUAGCUUGCGAAAAGAUACUGCACUUCCUUCCCCUGAAUGGUCUUCAGAUCAUAUUGCACUCUUGGCUGAGUUUCGGUGCAAGCCUAGGACUCGACGCUGAGACAAUGUAUGUAUUUAUGCCCUGAUGAAACGUGGUCUGGAAAUCUUCUUUUGUUCCUCCACUAUCGAAAUGUAGAUGUGGCGGUAGAUUCAUCGCAGACUUGAUUUUGCUUCCUGCAGGUGUGGCCUUGCGCAGGCAGAAUAUUUUACAAAAUUGGUAGCUGGAGAUGGUCAAGGAAAGUACAAGGGUUGUUGUUAUGAUAUAUAUAUAUAUAUAGUUGCUAUUAUAUAUUAUAUUGUAGGAUGGAAUAUCCAUGCCCUCCUCCCUCUUAAAUGUAUUAUCUUCCCCUGUUCGGGGAUGAUGUACACAUAAUCUCUCCUCUCUCUCUCUCUUCCCCCACCUUUGUAUCCUGGCAGAAGACUUUGUUCUGUAGAAAAAUUAUGUAAUGGUUAUAUGUUUUCUCCAAAAAAACUCAGAAAGUUGCAGCAGAAGAUGGAUGGUAUGUUGUGCUGCUGCAGCAGGUCUUGAUUGA